GACGAACGCUGGCGGCGUGCUUAACACAUGCAAGUCGAACGGAAAGGCCUCUUUCGGGGGGUACUCGAGUGGCGAACGGGUGAGUAACACGUGAGUAACCUGCCCUUGACUUUGGGAUAACUUCAGGAAACUGGGGCUAAUACCGGAUAGGAGCUCCUGCUGCAUGGUGGGGGUUGGAAAGUUUCGGCGGUUGGGGAUGGACUCGCGGCUUAUCAGCUUGUUGGUGGGGUAGUGGCUUACCAAGGCUUUAACGGGUAGCCGGCCUGAGAGGGUGACCGGCCACAUUGGGACUGAGAUACGGCCCAGACUCCUACGGGAGGCAGCAGUGGGGAAUAUUGCACAAUGGGUGGAAGCCUGAUGCAGCAACGCCGUGUGCGGGAUGACGGCCUUCGGGUUGUAAACCGCUUUCGCUCAUGACGAAGCUUUGUGUGACGGUAGUGGGUAAAGAAGCACCGGCUAACUACGUG
rnacentral:rRNA from 1 species